GCUGUGGAUUGGUUGUGUAUCUCUUGAAAAUGUGGUUAUGAAUAAGAAUGGAUAAAAAUUGUUUCUGCAUGUUGAGAAAAUCUGGGAUCUCUUGAAAAUUGCAUUUUCAGAGAGCAAGAACUUAAGAAUGUGUUGGCAGCAUGACCCUGACCACUAACAUAUAAAUAAUGGGUUACGCUCCUGUGCAGUUGUUGUCCUCUGUUCUCAUCAGUAGCCUCUGUCUCCACUGGUUUUUAAAGGCAGCUAAAUCCACCAUUCAGGUGGAACAUUGUCUGUGGUAA
rnacentral:lncRNA from 1 species